AUGAACCUCCUGCUAGACCUUAAGCAUCUCAAGCUCAUUAGCUUGCCGACGAGGCCUGUCAUUUGCAAAUGCCUUCUACUAGUGAUUGGUCUUAUUGUAUUGAGAGCGAUUGUCUCCCCUUUUCUCGCCAUUAAUUUGUCUGAGAAGAGUUUUUAUGAGCCACCAACCCUUGACCUGUUCCCUGGAGUUAGGAAAGACAAGUUUGUUGAGGUCCCACAGAUUAUAUGGGGAUUGAACAAUCAGAAGAUCGCAUUUGCCAGGGCAUGCUUGACUGCGAAAUUCCUGAACAGGUCUCUGCUCAUGCCAAGCCUGAGUGCUUCACUUUUCUACAAAGAGGUUGACUUGCUGCAGCCUAUUCCUUUCGACAAGGUGUUUGACUUCAACAAAUUCAAUGCCCGCUGUCAUGGUUUUGCGAGGCUAGCUUGGUACUCUGAAGUUUCGAAUCAUACUGAACCCUAUAAACUCCAAAAGGGAAGUGGUAGGAGGUGGACAGUGGAGCGAGACUUGGAUCAGCUGCAAGAAUCCAAAACGGGCGAGGCCGAUAACUAUCAAGUAAUUCAUGUCACUGGGAAACAUCCGUUUCUGUGGCCUGACCAUUGGCCAGUGAAAGACUAUGCCAAGGUCUUCGAUUGCCUUGCCUUAGCUCCUGAGAUAGAAACUGAAGUAGUCAAGGUCAUAUCCAAGAUUAAAGAUGCAGGGGAAAAAGCAAGACACGAGGCUGCUAUUUCCCAUAAUAAGAAGAGGAUAGAUGAUGGUUCGUUGAAUCUGCCUGUGCAGUACAUUGCUGUUCACAUGAGAAUAGAGAAAGACUGGAUGAUCCAUUGCAAGAAGUGGGAGAAGCGGUCGAAUUUGAAGGAAAUCUGCAGCAGCAAAGGAGAGAUCAUUCAUAAGGUCUCACAGAUCACUGAUCUACGCCGGCCGGUUGUGGUUUAUCUUGCUGUAGCCGACAGCCUUUUAGAAGAUGAUUCAGUAACCAGUGGUUGGAGAGUCGGUAUGAUUGCCUAUGAGAAGAAAAAACUUGGAGUUACUGACCUAUACAAGAGGCAGCCUUAUCUUAUAAAGUCUGCCAUUGACUUUGAGGUGUGUGCGAGAGCAGAUGUGUUUGUUGGCAAUAGCUUCUCAACAUUUUCCAACCUUGUAGUUUUGUCUAGAACAGAAAGGAUGUAUAAGCUGGGGGUGGAAAGCUCAUGUGGCGAGGAUGUUGGGCUGUCGUCAUACGCGUACAAUGUCAUCGGAGAUGAUGGCGGGCCUCAAAGAUGGAUGACAGAUAUGUUGGACACAAGCCUUCAGCGCAUAAGCUACGGAACAAAUAACAUCUCCUGCCACUGA
rnacentral:rRNA from 1 species